ACGAAUUCAAGAGACAUUUUAGUGUGGCUCGACUGUUUCGGAAAAAGAAUCGUUCCAUGGAUUGUGUGCCAUACAAUCAAGCCCGGAUAAAGCUACCACAUCCACUGAUACAUAAAUGCAGCAUUUGUUAAGGAACUUGGAUUUGGCUGCCGACAGAUGAUUCUUACGCAGACUCCUCUACAAAACACCGUAAAUGACUGUUGGUUUGGUCUCAGAAAUCGACAGUUAUCGUUUGCCUGAAUACACCAAAUUGAGAUACUUGACACUUUUUGGCCAACGAAAAUCAAACAGGAGCUUAGCUACAGAGACGUAUCUUUCCAGCUGAUCAAACAGUUUGAUCUGUCGCAAUGCAUCGAACGGGCGCUACGGGCAACA